rnacentral:tRNA from 1 species
AGGAGCGUAGCUCAGUAUGGUAGAGCAGCGGUCUCCAAAACCGCGGGUCGGGGGUUCAAGUCCUCCCGCUCCUGCCA